rnacentral:rRNA from 1 species
UACGUAGGGGGCAAGCGUUGUCCGGAAUCAUUGGGCGUAAAGCGCGUGUAGGCGGCUAGGUAAGUCUGCUCUGAAAGCCCGGGGCUCAACCCCGGGAGGCGGGUGGAUACUGUCUAGCUCGAGUCCGGAAGAGGAGUGUGGAAUUCCUGGUGUAGCGGUGAAAUGCGCAGAUAUCAGGAGGAACACCCGUGGCUAAGGCGGCUCUCUAGUACGGUACUGACGCUGAGACGCGAAAGCGUGGGGAGCGAACAGG